CACGGUGAUGUUCAAUACAAUAACUGAUGUAAUGAGACCUAGUGGAAUACUGCGGACACUUCUUGUUCUGAGCG